AAAUUCUGUGUUCGUAUAAUGCUAUCACGCUGUCGUCGUCUAAAUACACAUUUGGUUUCUAGGCAAUAAAUUUAGUUUAAGCAUGUUAUUUUAAUGGACCUAUAUUAAAUUUUACCAGAAGGUCUAAUAACACAAAAGGAAGGUUGGGAUUAAUUUUUGGCUGAUGGUACCAACAGUUUAGGAAAUGGGGGGGCCACAAAUAAGAUUUAUAUAAAAAAAAAAAAAGGUCGUAUAUUUGUAUCACGUCGUCAGCGUCAGGAUUAUAACUUUAGUAUAAGUGAAUAGAAAUCAAUUAAAUUUUAACACGAGGUUAAUAACCAAUAAAGGAAGGUUGGGAUUGAUUUUGAGACUGUUGGUCCCAACUGUUUAGGAAUUAGCGGCCAAAAAGGGGC
rnacentral:lncRNA from 1 species